UGUAUCUAUAGAUACCAUACCAGAAGGUGAAGAAAAGAAUAUGAUCGAAUUAACAGUAGAAACUGUUGAAAAAAAAAAGAAAUUUUUGCACGAAAAGUUGCAGACAAAUAUAAACUUUCACCUAAGAUUCUUUUGUGGGAAAUACAGUUUCAUGCUCAAAAAGAGUCGAAUUAUGUAUUUCAUAAAAAUAGGAAAAUAGAAGGAGAAUACAUUUCAUAUGCACAGGAA